rnacentral:rRNA from 1 species
GUGGGGAAUAUUGGACAAUGGGCGAAAGCCUGAUCCAGCCAUGCCGCGUGUGUGAAGAAGGUCUUCGGAUUGUAAAGCACUUUAAGUUGGGAGGAAGGGCAGUAAGUUAAUACCUUGCUGUUUUGACGUUACCGACAGAAUAAGCACCGGCUAACUUCGUGCCAGCAGCCGCGGUAAUACAAAGGGUGCAAGCGUUAAUCGGAAUUACUGGGCGUAAAGCGCGCGUAGGUGGUUUUGUAAGUUGGAGGUGAAAUCCCCGGGCUCAACCUGGGAACUGCCUCCAGAACUGCAUGACUAGAGUACGGUAGAGGGUAGUGGAAUUUCCUGUGUAGCGGUGAAAUGCGUAGAUAUAGGAAGGAACACCAGUGGCGAAGGCGACUACCUGGACUGAUACUGACACUGAGGUGCGAAAGCGUGGGGAGCAAACAGGAUUAGAAACCCGGGUAGUCC